GGGCAGAUCAAGUCCAAUUAGAGGGAAGCGUGUGGCCCCAGUUUCCGUAGGAGGGUCGGAGCUGCUCCAGAGGCAGCAGGAUUUGCAGGAAGGAAGCCUGUGCACAGAGAAUAAAUAACUUGGCCAAGCUAUUCAGCUAGGAAGUUGUAGAUCCUCAAUUAGGAGUUCAAGGUCUUAAUGGCUAGCCUAUGCGGCCUCUCCUCGUUCAGUCUUUUCAAGGGUUUUGGAGAAGAAUAAAAGAUCAGAUAUUUGAGAGGUUACAAUGUGCCAGCCUCUCUUCCAGGUACUGGAGAUAAAGUGGGACAAGAGAGGUGAGGUCUGGACCCUUGGCACUUUCACCAUAAAAUACACAGGUAAACAUUUGCCUUUAGGGCCCCCCAUAAUUACUUCCACUCUUGCAGAUAAGAGGAUCAGGCCUCUUCAGCUUGUUCGCUGCAGCUGAAAAGCAAAGCCUCUCUGUCAGUAGAGGCAAAAGAUUAAGAAUGCAGAGUCCUAUGGGGCAUUACCACAUGAUUAUGAAUUAAUGCAAUUUUCCAUCUUUUAUUUCCAAUCCAGACAUUGCUUUUGAACUCAGUCAUCUUUUCCCCCUUGCCCACUAGUUGCUUGUGAUACAUCCGCAUCCUCACCCACCCCCAACUCCAGAGGCUGAAACUGACUCUCCUCCUCCCUUUUCCAACUGCUGAUGAAGGUGAGUCAAUGGUAUUACUGGACCUGUGAGCCGAUGCUGUGAAGAGAGGCCAUCUAACACGGACUACGGGGAAUGGUGCCACAGGGGCCUCAGUGCUGCCCUUUGCUCUCAGCAUUUUGCUCACUCAGCAUUGGUGGUAGCCACAUCAGCCUCGGUGAAGGAAGUCCAGAGAGUUGAGCCUGUGCUUCACCUCCAUGCCAGCACCAUGGCACUCACUGUACAUUCAGCAAGCUCCAAGGAAGCUGACAGGAGGCUGGCUGACAUCUACGGGACAGGUCAAUUUGUUCUCUGGAGGGCACUCCAUGAGACGCAAAUAUCUUCACACCCUGUGCCCGUUUCAAGAGACUCUUUCACAUGCCUCCCCCACCUUGACCUCUGUGUCACCACUCUUUCAAUCUUGUUUAUUCCAAAUCCUUAAGGUAGCAGCUGGCCAACACAUUAGCCACCGCUGAUGAGUCAGUGUAGAUCUUACAUCAGGCCAUCUCUUUUUCUUUGCAAAAUAGAAAAGCAGAUGUUCUGCUCAGAAUUCUGUUUGUUAGUAAGAUUUCCCCUUCUGCUGUGUUUCAGGACAUCCCUGGGAGGGACUCUGAUGCAGCAGCCAUCUACUUAUUGCUAGUGCCAGCUUACUUUGCGUGACGUUGACUCCUUUCCCUCAUCUGUUGCCUGGUUACAGGAACCUCCUUGUGAAGCUAUAGGUGUGCACUGAGAGACAUUGAGGCAGUGGGAGAAGGCAUCAUAGAGUCUAAGUUUUCUGCUAGUCUGAGUUUCUUGUGUCUUGUGGACCUGGUGGGCUUAUCUCCUUUAUCAUGUAGAUACCAUUUUCACUUAAUAAUAGAAUGCUCCUACAAAUGCCCAAUUUUAUCAUGUGGUGUGUUAGGCGACACUCAGUUCAUCAGGGUAGCUAGGUUGUGCAGUUACUUUGGUGUUAUGGUGUUAUGGAUUGAAUUGUGACUCCCCAGAAGAUAUAUUAGAAUCCUAACCUUUAGGACUUCAGAGUGUGACAUUAUUUGAAUAUAGGGUUUUUACAGAGUUAAUCAAUUUAAAAUGAAUUCACUAGGGUGGACCCCAAUCCAAUAUGACUGAUAAUCUUAUAAAAAGGAGAGAUUUGGAUACAGAGAGAGACAGAGUGAAGACGAUGUGAAGAAACACAGGAAAACAUGGCAGCUAUAAGCCAAGGAGAAGCUUGCAGUAUGUAUUCAUCUGUUCUCAUGCUGCUAAUAAAGACAUACCUGAGACUGGGUAAUUUAUAAAAGAAAGAGU